CUUUCAAGUUUCAACCCAGCAACCUUUGUGUACAUACAUGUGUUAUCAAGGAUGCACGGAUCCAUUGGCAUGCGUACCACACAUCCCCUGACUAAUUCUAUCAGUGUCAUUCUUAACAAGGUAAGUAUGAUUGCCUAAUCUCUGAUUUUCUUAAUUGAUCUUUGGUCCUUGAUCCCUAAUGUCGUUAUAUUUUAUUGAUUUUAUAAAUGAUCUCAAACAAGAAUAUACCAUUUUUAGGCUACAGUUCCUAUAACUUGCCUUGUCAAUUUGAUAAAAUUACAUGUGUGAUGGAGGUUGUAACUUAUUACAGUUUACAUUGUCAAAAUUCUUCAAACCCUAUGUCGAUCCUCACUAUCUUUGAAACAAUCUGAUUUCUGUGUCAUUGCUAAGAAUAUGUAUAUAUUUGGUGUGCUGGAUUUUCUGAUGUAAGAGGAAGCUAUUCGACAAUCCUGCUCAAGUUGGUAUAGAUUAUAUCGAUUUUAUUCAGUAAAUAUUUAUGCUUGAUAGAUGAAAGCCUCCCUCUUCUGCCCUUCUUUUCUCCAUCCUCUAUAGGUCGCGAGCACAUGUGAAUCAUUGUCGUCAAGAGCAUGCUUGUGACAUCAUUACUAUACGUGAUGCAGCGCAAAAGGAUGUUGUCAGGAGUUAAGUGUUCAAGCGCAAUCUCUAGCCAAGUUUCUUUUGUUGUUGUGUUGAAUUUUGGGGAAAGGCAGCAAAGCAGCUCGUGGCAUUUGUGUCGCGCCUGCUCCGCCGCUGCCUUGACUCGCCGACGACAUCGCCCGUUGGGCUGCAGGGGUGCAAGACGACCGUGGGGCCCAUUGCAUGGGUGCUGAGUAUGCUUGAUUUCCAUGUCGGAGACGAAGGCCCUAGAGCUUGGUGGCUUUGUGACAAGUCGUGUGAGAUGAAGGUGGUGAACCAUCUCAAUAUGAAGCCAAGUAUGUGGUGGAUUUUCCAUGGAUGAUGGUAGACCGAUAGGCGGCUGGGUGCAUGAAUAAUUGUCAAGGUGGCCGAAGCUAGCGCUAUUUUUGUUGGACUGAAGGAAUUGUAUAAGUUAUUUCGAGGCUCCCUAGUGGUGGAGAUCGACUACGCAGUGGGGAAAGGAGCUAGGGGUUGAUUUUGUAAGAAGAUCAUUGUCCGACGCAAUUAUUGUUGAUAUUAAAUCCGCCGAAGCUCCUGGAGACCUUAUGGUUGCGGAAGGUGUCGCGGACCAAUUACAUGCUCUGCUAUGGAAGGAAAACGAUGCAGCCUUGACGUCGGCCUAAGUCUUGAUGUAAUCCUCAAAAGAGAUAUUGCUUGCAGAUUGGUUAUAUAGAAACAUGCAUGUUGUAGGACUGUUAAUUUUUGUUUUGGAAUACUAAGAUCUGUUCAGAUGCUUUCCUUACUCUUAUGGAUAAAAAAUUCACAAGA